ensembl:lincRNA 2210011K15Rik RIKEN cDNA 2210011K15 gene
AGAAGCUGAAGGGCUGAGGAGAUGGCUCAUCCAGUAGAGGUGCUGGCCGCCGGGCCGGUGGCCCGAGCUUGAUCCUUGGGACCUAGAUGAUAAAUAUAUCGAUUCUGCUGCUGUUGCUGCUGCUAAUCUUUGCUGACAUCAGACUUCAGCUUCAUUGGUUUCCAAUGUAGAUGGAAGACCAGCAACACUACCAACAUCUUCUAGACCUCCAGCUCCAGACUGCGGCUGCUGGGGUAUCCAUCUCAUGGGCUGAACAUCCUCUCAGUUCACAGUCUCUCCAGCAUGCUGACAGCCAAUGCUGGACUACUCAGGCCUGUCUGGUGCAAGCCAAACUAUGAACUCUCCUUUGUAGUAUAUAUUUAUUCUGUUUUCUUCCUCUGGAGAACCUCACUACAGAGUAGUGUUGGCAACAUCUCCCAGAGAAUAAUUUGUUAACAUGGAGCAUAUAGUGCUGGGUUGCUCCUUCCAGAGAAGCCUUUAGGACAACCUCAGAAGUAGAAGACACUUUUGUGGGAGAAGAAUACAGAGGAAAAGAAAGCAGCUGAAUCGAUUAGACUGCUCAAUACCCGCACGACACUGUGCAUAAUUACUCAACCAGGAACGAUGUGAUUAACUAAUUUGUAGUAUUUCUUCCUUGUAAAGAAGAGAAGAUAUCAAAAAAAAAAAAACAAUAAAGACACACAUUAAAAAAAAACUGUUCCAAGACUCUCAGAGGAUACUGAUAAACUCCUGUUAAAAAUAUGACUAAUCUAUUUCCCCAAAAGGGGGAAAAAGUCUCUCUAUAAAAAUAGCUAGCAAAGUUGCCAAGAGAUGUAGCCUUGGACUUGUGAGAAAUAUCAAUCUGAAAAGUCUAUCAUCCAAAGACCUUGGACAUCAAUAGUGGAUUUGAAUUAUGGAGCUGGGCUGCACCUUAAUUUACCUGGUCCUUCCCCAAGUAGCCAGAUAAUAUCAAUAUCUUGCAUUUAUACGAUGACUGUCUUCCCAGAUGGCUUCAUUAAAUUGUAUGUUUUAUGAGACUCUCUUUCUUAACCGUGGUCAUCUCUGAAUGAGAACGACGCUCCUGGCUGACUCAAGCGAGGGAAAAAAUCCCCAUCUUUCUACCCAUGAUCGUAAAAACGUUCAGUUAGCAAGCAUUUCCUGAGCAUCUGCGUGGGCAGAGCCAGAGACAAGUCUGUAGAUGGUGACAUACGGAAGAUUAAAAGGACGUGGUCCCAGAGCAAUGGAGAUACCUCAGUCAGUAAUGUGCUUGUCUUGCUGUGCGAGUGUGAAGACCUGAGCUUGGAUUCCCAGGACUCGAAUAAAAAGCCAGGGGCAGGAGGCCAUGUGGGCUGGACUGCGGCCCACAAUUCCCAAAAGCUUUGGGAAGAACUGGGACCUGAAGGGAAGUUCCAGGGAGGACAGGCCUAAGCAGAAGGAGCCCAGGUUUAAUUAGGUGACAUAGGCAGGCCUAGGCAGGAGAAGCUGAGCUCCUAACUUGGUACAGGAGCUAGGUGGGAGCUAGGCUUCUGGCCCCAAAUUCCUGGGAGCUGUGGGCAGGCCUGGUGCAGGCUGUGGGGCUGCUGCUGGUGUUAGUGGAAUAUAGGUGAAAUAAAAGUAGAGAACAGGAAGACAGGGGACAGGUAGUUGGAGCAGGCAGUGGAGGGAUGGGGGGUUGGAGAAUGCAGGCUCAGAGGAAGGCUUAACCAUAUGAACAGUGCAUGAAGAACCUACAUGAUUUUGCUAUCUGAAUAAAAACAAUUUAAUGAAGGAACUGU